rnacentral:misc_RNA from 1 species
GAUGAAGAACGCAGCGAAAUGCGAUAAGUAGUGUGAAUUGCAGAAUUCAGUGAAUCAUCGAAUCUUUGAACGCACAUUGCGCCCCAUGGUAUUCCGUGGGGCAUGCCUGUUCGAGCGUCAUUUACCCCCUCAAGCGCCGCUUGGUGUUGGGCGUCUGUCCCGCUUCGCGCGCGGACUCGCCCCAAAGGUAUUGGCAGCGGUCGUGCCAGCUUCUCGCGCAGCACAUUGCGCUUCUCGAGGCACCGGUGGGCCCGCGUCCAUCAAGCUCACCCCCCCAGUUUGACCUCGGAUCAGGUAGGGAUACCCGCUGAACUUAAGCAUAUCAAUAAGCGGAGGA